ACUGCCCCUAGAGGCGUUGCAGCUGUGGCUGCCGUGUCACAUCUGUGUCAUUAAGUGGCAGAGAUUAGAGAGGCUAUGUCUACGCUCAGCGUUCUGCCCCGUGAACGUUUGAAUGUUUGAUAGUCUCACACU
rnacentral:snoRNA from 10 species